UACGUAGGGGGCAAGCGUUGUCCGGAUUUAUUGGGCGUAAAGAGCGUGUAGGCGGCCAUGUAGGUCCGUUGUGAAAACUCGAGGCUCAACCUCGAGACGCCGAUGGAAACCAUGUGGCUAGAGUCCGGAAGAGGAGAGUGGAAUUCCUGGUGUAGCGGUGAAAUGCGCAGAUAUCAGGAAGAACACCGAUGGCGAAGGCAGGUCUCUGGGCCACUACUGACGCUGAGAAGCGAAAGCAUGGGGAGCGAACAGG
rnacentral:rRNA from 1 species